rnacentral:rRNA from 1 species
GAUGAACGCUGGCGGCGUGCCUAAUACAUGCAAGUCGAGCGAACAGAUAAGGAGCUUGCUCCUCUGAAGUUAGCGGCGGACGGGUGAGUAACACGUGGGUAACCUACCUAUAAGACUGGGAUAACUUCGGGAAACCGGAGCUAAUACCGGAUAACAUUUAGAACCGCAUGGUUCUAAAGUGAAAGAUGGUUUUGCUAUCACUUAUAGAUGGACCCGCGCCGUAUUAGCUAGUUGGUAAGGUAACGGCUUACCAAGGCGACGAUACGUAGCCGACCUGAGAGGGUGAUCGGCCACACUGGAACUGAGACACGGUCCAGACUCCUACGGGAGGCAGCAGUAGGGAAUCUUCCGCAAUGGGCGAAAGCCUGACGGAGCAACGCCGCGUGAGUGAUGAAGGGUUUCGGCUCGUAAAACUCUGUUAUUAGGGAAGAACAAAUGUGUAAGUAACUGUGCACAUCUUGACGGUACCUAAUCAGAAAGCCACGGCUAACUACGUG